rnacentral:rRNA from 1 species
GAUGAACGCUGGCGGCGUGCCUAAUACAUGCAAGUCGAACGAAACUUCUUUAUCACCGAGUGCUUGCACUCACCGAUAAAGAGUUGAGUGGCGAACGGGUGAGUAACACGUGGGCAACCUGCCCAAAAGAGGGGGAUAACACUUGGAAACAGGUGCUAAUACCGCAUAACCAUAGUUACCGCAUGGUAACUAUGUAAAAGGUGGCUAUACUACCGCUUUUGGAUGGGCCCGCGGCGCAUUAGCUAGUUGGUAGGGUAAAGGCUUACCAAGGCAAUGAUGCGUAGCCGAAUUGAGAGGUUGAUCGGCCACAUUGGGACUGAGACACGGCCCAACCUCCUACGGGAGGCAGCAGUAGGGAAUCUUCCACAAUGGGCGAAAGCCUGAUGGAGCAACGCCGCGUGGGUGAAGAAGGUCUUCGGAUCGUAAAACCCUGUUGUUAGAGAAGAAAGUGCGUGAGAGUAACUGUUCACGUUUCGACGGUAUCUAACCGGAAAGCCACGGCUAACUACGUG